UACGGAGGGUGCAAGCGUUAAUCGGAAUUACUGGGCGUAAAGCGCACGCAGGCGGUUUGUUAAGUCAGAUGUGAAAUCCCCGGGCUCAACCUGGGAACUGCAUCUGAUACUGGCAAGCUUGAGUUUCGUAGAGGAGGGUAGAAUUCCGAGUGUAGCGGUGAAAUGCGUAGAGAUCUGGAGGAAUACCGGUGGCGAAAGCGGCGCCCUGGACAAAGACUGACGCUCAGGUGCGAAAGCGUGGGGAGCGAAAAGG
rnacentral:rRNA from 1 species